rnacentral:rRNA from 1 species
AGCAGCCGCGGUAAUUCCAGCUCCAAUAGCGUAUAUUAAAGUUGUUGCAGUUAAAAAGCUCGUAGUUGAAUUUCGGGGUCAGUAGGUCGGUCGUGCCACUGGUAUGAACUGGUUUUACUGAUUCCUCCCUCUUGAAGAACUGUAAUGCCAUUAAUUUGGUGUUGCAGGGAAUCAGGACUGUUACUUUGAAAAAAUUUAGAGUGUUUAAAGCAGGCUUUAGCUUGAAUACAUUAGCAUGGAAUAAUGAAAUAGGACGUUUGAUCCUAUUUUGUUGGUUUCUAGGAUUGACGUAAUGAUUAAUAGGGAUAGUUGGGGGCAUUAGUAUUCAAUUGUCAGAGGUGAAAUUCUUGGAUUUAUUGAAGACUAACUACUGCGGAAGCAUUUGCCAAGGAUGUUUUCAUUAAUCAAGAACGAAAGUUAGGGGAUCGAAGACGAUCAGAUACCGUCGUAGUCUUAACCAUAAACUAUGCCGACUAGGGAUCGGAUGAUGUUAAUUUUUUCAAUGACUCAUUCGGCGCCU